GGUUAAGCGACUAAGCGUACACGGUGGAUGCCCUGGCAGUCAGAGGCGAUGAAGGACGUGCUAAUCUGCGAUAAGCGUCGGUAAGGUGAUAUGAACCGUUAUAACCGGCGAUUUCCGAAUGGGGAAACCCAGUGUGUUUCGACACACUAUCAUUAACUGAAUCCAUAGGUUAAUGAGGCGAACCGGGGGAACUGAAACAUCUAAGUACCCCGAGGAAAAGAAAUCAACCGAGAUUCCCCCAGUAGCGGCGAGCGAACGGGGAGCAGCCCAGAGCCUGAAUCAGUGUGUGUGUUAGUGGAAGCGUCUGGAAAGGCGCGCGAUACAGGGUGACAGCCCCGUACACAAAAAUGCACAUGCUGUGAGCUCGAUGAGUAGGGCGGGACACGUGGUAUCCUGUCUGAAUAUGGGGGGACCAUCCUCCAAGGCUAAAUACUCCUGACUGACCGAUAGUGAACCAGUACCGUGAGGGAAAGGCGAAAAGAACCCCGGCGAGGGGAGUGAAAAAGAACCUGAAACCGUGUACGUACAAGCAGUGGGAGCACGCUUAGGCGUGUGACUGCGUACCUUUUGUAUAAUGGGUCAGCGACUUAUAUUCUGUAGCAAGGUUAACCGAAUAGGGGAGCCGAAGGGAAACCGAGUCUUAACUGGGCGUUAAGUUGCAGGGUAUAGACCCGAAACCCGGUGAUCUAGCCAUGGGCAGGUUGAAGGUUGGGUAACACUAACUGGAGGACCGAACCGACUAAUGUUGAAAAAUUAGCGGAUGACUUGUGGCUGGGGGUGAAAGGCCAAUCAAACCGGGAGAUAGCUGGUUCUCCCCGAAAGCUAUUUAGGUAGCGCCUCGUGAAUUCAUCUCCGGGGGUAGAGCACUGUUUCGGCAAGGGGGUCAUCCCGACUUACCAACCCGAUGCAAACUGCGAAUACCGGAGAAUGUUAUCACGGGAGACACACGGCGGGUGCUAACGUCCGUCGUGAAGAGGGAAACAACCCAGACCGCCAGCUAAGGUCCCAAAGUCAUGGUUAAGUGGGAAACGAUGUGGGAAGGCCCAGACAGCCAGGAUGUUGGCUUAGAAGCAGCCAUCAUUUAAAGAAAGCGUAAUAGCUCACUGGUCGAGUCGGCCUGCGCGGAAGAUGUAACGGGGCUAAACCAUGCACCGAAGCUGCGGCAGCGACGCUUAUGCGUUGUUGGGUAGGGGAGCGUUCUGUAAGCCUGUGAAGGUGUGCUGUGAGGCAUGCUGGAGGUAUCAGAAGUGCGAAUGCUGACAUAAGUAACGAUAAAGCGGGUGAAAAGCCCGCUCGCCGGAAGACCAAGGGUUCCUGUCCAACGUUAAUCGGGGCAGGGUGAGUCGACCCCUAAGGCGAGGCCGAAAGGCGUAGUCGAUGGGAAACAGGUUAAUAUUCCUGUACUUGGUGUUACUGCGAAGGGGGGACGGAGAAGGCUAUGUUGGCCGGGCGACGGUUGUCCCGGUUUAAGCGUGUAGGCUGGUUUUCCAGGCAAAUCCGGAAAAUCAAGGCUGAGGCGUGAUGACGAGGCACUACGGUGCUGAAGCAACAAAUGCCCUGCUUCCAGGAAAAGCCUCUAAGCAUCAGGUAACAUCAAAUCGUACCCCAAACCGACACAGGUGGUCAGGUAGAGAAUACCAAGGCGCUUGAGAGAACUCGGGUGAAGGAACUAGGCAAAAUGGUGCCGUAACUUCGGGAGAAGGCACGCUGAUACGUAGGUGAAGUCCCUCGCGGAUGGAGCUGAAAUCAGUCGAAGAUACCAGCUGGCUGCAACUGUUUAUUAAAAACACAGCACUGUGCAAACACGAAAGUGGACGUAUACGGUGUGACGCCUGCCCGGUGCCGGAAGGUUAAUUGAUGGGGUCAGCGCAAGCGAAGCUCUUGAUCGAAGCCCCGGUAAACGGCGGCCGUAACUAUAACGGUCCUAAGGUAGCGAAAUUCCUUGUCGGGUAAGUUCCGACCUGCACGAAUGGCGUAAUGAUGGCCAGGCUGUCUCCACCCGAGACUCAGUGAAAUUGAACUCGCUGUGAAGAUGCAGUGUACCCGCGGCAAGACGGAAAGACCCCGUGAACCUUUACUAUAGCUUGACACUGAACAUUGAGCCUUGAUGUGUAGGAUAGGUGGGAGGCUUNNNNNNNNNNNNNNNNNNNNNNNNNNNNNNNNNNNNNNNNNNNNNNNNNNNNNNNNNNNNNNNNNNNNAUCCGGGUUGCGGACAGUGUCUGGUGGGUAGUUUGACUGGGGCGGUCUCCUCCUAAAGAGUAACGGAGGAGCACGAAGGUUGGCUAAUCCUGGUCGGACAUCAGGAGGUUAGUGCAAUGGCAUAAGCCAGCUUGACUGCGAGCGUGACGGCGCGAGCAGGUGCGAAAGCAGGUCAUAGUGAUCCGGUGGUUCUGAAUGGAAGGGCCAUCGCUCAACGGAUAAAAGGUACUCCGGGGAUAACAGGCUGAUACCGCCCAAGAGUUCAUAUCGACGGCGGUGUUUGGCACCUCGAUGUCGGCUCAUCACAUCCUGGGGCUGAAGUAGGUCCCAAGGGUAUGGCUGUUCGCCAUUUAAAGUGGUACGCGAGCUGGGUUUAGAACGUCGUGAGACAGUUCGGUCCCUAUCUGCCGUGGGCGCUGGAGAACUGAGGGGGGCUGCUCCUAGUACGAGAGGACCGGAGUGGACGCAUCACUGGUGUUCGGGUUGUCAUGCCAAUGGCACUGCCCGGUAGCUAAAUGCGGAAGAGAUAAGUGCUGAAAGCAUCUAAGCACGAAACUUGCCCCGAGAUGAGUUCUCCCUGACUCCUUGAGAGUCCUGAAGGAACGUUGAAGACGACGACGUUGAUAGGCCGGGUGUGUAAGCGCAGCGAUGCGUUGAGCUAACCGGUACUAAUGAACCGUGAGGCUUAACCUU
rnacentral:rRNA from 1 species